AGGUGGGCACUCCUGAGACUGCAGAGCAGAAGAGACCACCAACACUGCCCACCCCUGCCCACAUCCCUGGCCCAAGAGGAAACUGUAUACGGCCUCUGGGUUCCCGUAGAGGAGGGCCCAGGAGCAGCAGGACUACUGCAUCUGAGACACCACCGGAACCUGAAGGGACCGACCAGAUAAACAGUUCUCUGCACCCAAAUCCCGUGGGAGGGAGAGCUAAACCUUCAGAGAGGCAGACAUGCCUGGGAAACCAGAAGAGACUGCACUCUGCACACAUUACUGAUUCCAGAGGAAAACACCAAACGCCAUCUGGAACCCUGGUGCACGGAAGCUCCCGGAAAGGGUGGUGCAGAUCUUCCUGGUUGCUACCCCCACGGAGAGCUCGUAGGCAGCACCCCAUGAGCAAACUUGAGCCUCGGGACCACAGGUAAGACAAACCUUCCUGCUCUAAGCGACCUGCCUGGUGAACUCAAGACACAGGCCCACAGGAACAGCUGAAGACCUGUAGAUAGGAAAAACUACACGCCCGAAAGCAGAACACUCUGUUCCCAUAACUGGUUGAAAGAAAACAGGAAAA
rnacentral:lncRNA from 1 species